rnacentral:rRNA from 1 species
AUGCACUCGCGCCCAAUCCCAUCCUCUCCCGUCCCGCUCCACACCAGCUGCCACACAACCCUAGCCCCUUACCCAUCAAUCCCCACAGCCCCUCCCUCCUCCUCGCUCCUGGCCAUGGCCUCCACCCUAGGAGCCUCGCCACGGCCUCCUACUCCCCCUCCACCACCGUACAUGCACACAGACGGCGGUGCCGGAGAAGAGCAGCUCCAGUCAUGGUGGGGUGCGGCUGUGAUAGAGAGGAACGAGUCAGGGACAAGGGGAAGGAGCAGGUCGACCCGACUCUAUCUCUCUGCACGAGGACUAGAGGAGCAAGUGGCGAGGGAAGCCGUCACGGCCAGCGACGGCGCUGCACAGGGACGUCCGCCUCUGGUUUUCUGUCCUGUCUCCCGAUCCCCUUUCGUUUAG